UACGUAGGGUGCGAGCGUUGUCCGGAAUUACUGGGCGUAAAGAGCUCGUAGGUGGUUUGUCGCGUUGUCCGUGAAAACUCACAGCUUAACUGUGGGCGUGCGGGCGAUACGGGCAGACUGGAGUACUGCAGGGGAGACUGGAAUUCCUGGUGUAGCGGUGAAAUGCGCAGAUAUCAGGAAGAACACCCGUGGCGAAGGCGGCUCUCUGGGACGGUACUGACGCUGAGACGCGAAAGCGUGGGGAGCGAACAGG
rnacentral:rRNA from 1 species